AGUGAACGCUGGCGGCAGGCCUAACACAUGCAAGUCGAACGGCAGCACGGGAGAGCUCGCUCUCUGGGUGGCGAGUGGCGGACGGGUGAGGAAUAUAUCGGAAUCUACCCUUUCGUGGGGGAUAACGUAGGGAAACUUACGCUAAUACCGCAUACGAACUGAGGUUGAAAGCGGCGGACCGCAAGGCGUCGCGCGGAUGGAUGAGCCGAUAUCCGAUUAGCUAGUUGGCGGGGUAAAGGCCCACCAAGGCGACGAUCGGUAGCUGGUCUGAGAGGAUGAUCAGCCACACUGGAACUGAGACACGGUCCAGACUCCUACGGGAGGCAGCAGUGGGGAAUAUUGGACAAUGGGCGCAAGCCUGAUCCAGCCAUGCCGCGUGUGUGAAGAAGGCCUUCGGGAUGCAAAGCACUUUUGUUGGGAAAGAAAAGCGGUCGGUUAAUACCCGGUCGUUCUGACGGUACCCAAAGAAUAAGCACCGGCUAACUUCGUGCCAGCAGCCGCCGUAAUAC
rnacentral:rRNA from 1 species